UACGACGACAUCAUGUUGAAAAACCGGUUCCCGUAUGAUCACCAAAGUUAAGCAACGUCGAGCCUGAUCAUUACCUAGAUGUAUGAACGCUUGGGAAUACCAGGUGUUGUAAG